GACGAACGCUGGCGGCGUGCCUAAUACAUGCAAGUAGAACGCUGAAGGAGGAGCUUGCUUCUCUGGAUGAGUUGCGAACGGGUGAGUAACGCGUAGGUAACCUGCCUGGUAGCGGGGGAUAACUAUUGGAAACGAUAGCUAAUACCGCAUAAGAGUAGAUGUUGCAUGACAUUUGCUUAAAAGGUGCAAUUGCAUCACUACCAGAUGGACCUUCGUUGUUUUAGCUAGUUGGUGGGGUAACGGCUUACCAAGGCGACGAUACAUAGCCGACCUGAGAGGGGGAUCGGCCACACUGGGACUGAGACACGGCCCAGACUCCUACGGGAGGCAGCAGUAGGGAAUCUUCGGCAAUGGACGGAAGUCUGACCGAGCAACGCCGCGUGAGUGAAGAAGGUUUUCGGAUCGGAAAGCUCUGUUGUAAGAGAAGAACGAGUGUGAGAGUGGAAAGUUCACACUGUGACGGUAUCUUACCAGAAAGGGACGGCUAACUACGUG
rnacentral:rRNA from 1 species